rnacentral:rRNA from 1 species
AUACGUAGGGGGCAAGCGUUAUCCGGAUUUACUGGGUGUAAAGGGAGCGUAGACGGUAAAGCAAGUCAGGAGUGAAAUCUAGGGGCUCAACCCCUAAACUGCUUUUGAAACUGUAUCCCUUGAGUAUCGGAGAGGCAGGCGGAAUUUCUAGUGUAGCGGUGUAAUGCGUAGAUAUUAGGAGGAACACCAGUGGCGAAGGCGGCCUGCUGGACGACAACUGACGCUGAGGCGCGAAAGCGUGGGGAGCAAACAGGAUUAGAUACCCUGGUAGUCCACGCUGUAAACGAUGAAUACUAGGUGUGGGGGGACUGACCCCCUCCGUGCCGCAGUUAACACAAUAAGUAUUCCACCUGGGGAGUACGAUCGCAAGAUUGAAACUCAAAUGAAUUGGCGGGG